GAUGAAGAACGCAGCGAAAUGCGAUAAGUAAUGUGAAUUGCAGAAUUCAGUGAAUCAUCGAAUCUUUGAACGCACAUUGCGCCCGCUAGUAUUCUGGCGGGCAUGCCUGUUCGAGCGUCAUUUCAACCAUCAAGCCCCAGGCUUGUGUUGGGGGCCUGCGGCUGCCGCAGCCCCUGAAAAGCAGUGGCGGGCUCGCUGUCAUUCCGAGCGCAGUAGUUACAUCUCGCUCCGGGCGUGGCGGUGGGCACCUGCCGUGAAACACUCCUUCUAAGGUUGACCUCGGAUCAGGUAGGAAUACCCGCUGAACUUAAGCAUAUCAAAGCGGAGGA
rnacentral:misc_RNA from 1 species